rnacentral:rRNA from 1 species
CCUACGGGAGACAGCAGUGAGGAAUAUUGGUCAAUGGACGAGAGUCUGAACCAGCCAAGUAGCGUGAAGGAUGACUGCCCUAUGGGUUGUAAACUUCUUUUAUAUGGGAAUAAAAUGUUCCACGUGUGGGAUUUUGUAUGUACCAUAUGAAUAAGGAUCGGCUAACUCUGUGCCAGCAGCCGCGGUAAUACGGAGGAUCCGAGCGUUAUCCGGAUUUAUUGGGUUUAAAGGGAGCGUAGGUGGAUUGUUAAGUCAGUUGUGAAAGUUUGCGGCUCAAACGUAAAAUUGCAGUUGAAACUGGCAGUCUUGAGUACAGUAGAGGUGGGCGGAAUUCGUGGUGUAGCGGUGAAAUGCUUAGAUAUCACGAAGAACUCCGAUUGCGAAGGCAGUUCACUGGACUGCAACUGACACUGAGGCUCGAAAGUGUGGGUAUCAAACAGGAUUAGAUACCCGUGUAGUC